rnacentral:rRNA from 1 species
CCUACGGGUGGCAGCAGUGGGGAAUAUUGGUCAAUGGGCGCAAGCCUGACCCAGCAACGCCGCGUGAAGGAAGAAGGCUUUCGGGUUGUAAACUUCUUUUCUCAGGGACGAAUCAAGUGACCGUACCUGAGGAAUAAGCUACGGCUAACUUCGUGCCAGCAGCCGCGGUAAUACGUAGGUGGCAAGCGUUAUCCGGAUGUACUGGGUGUAAAGGGCGUGUAGGCGGGAGUGCAAGUCAGAUGUGAAAACCACGGGCUCAACCUGUGACCUGCAUUUGAAACUGUAGUUCUUGAGUGCUGGAGAGGCAGGAGGAAUUCCUGGUGUAGCGGUGAAAUGCGUAGAUAUUAGGAGGAACACCAGUGGCGAAGGCGGUCUGCUGGACAGCAACUGACGCUGAGGCGCGAAAGCGUGGGGAGCAAACAGGAUUAGAUACCCUGGUAGUC